UACGAAGGUGGCAAGCGUUGUUCGGAUUUACUGGGCGUAAAGGGAGCGUAGGUGGUCGGGUAAGCCCCGCGGGAAAGCUCCAGGCUUAACCUGGAAAGGUCGCGGGGGACUGCUCGGCUAGAGGACGGGAGAGGAGCGCGGAAUUCCCGGUGUAGCGGUGAAAUACGUAGAGAUCGGGAGGAAGGCCGGUGGCGAAGGCGGCGCUCUGGAACGGCCCUGACACUGAGGCUCGAAAGCUAGGGGAGCAAACGGG
rnacentral:rRNA from 1 species